UGGGGAAUAUUGCACAAUGGAGGGAACUCUGAUGCAGCGACGCCGCGUGAGUGAUGAAGGAAUUCGUUUCGUAAAACUCUGUUCUAUGGGAAGAAAAGGACUGUACCAUAGGAGAAAGCUCCGGCUAAAUACGUGCCAGCAGCCGCGGUAAUACGUAUGGAGCGAGCGUUGUCCGGAAUUAUUGGGCGUAAAGGGUGCGCAGGCGGCUUUACAAGUUGGAUGUGAAAUAUUGUGGCUCAACCACAAACGUGCAUCCAAAACUGCAAAGCUUGAGUUAAGGGGAGGUAGGUGGAAUUCCUGGUGUAGCGGUGGAAUGCGUAGAUAUCAGGAGGAAUACCGGUGGCGAAGGCGACUUACUGGACUUAAACUGACGCUCAGGCACGAAAGCGUGGGGAGCAAACAGG
rnacentral:rRNA from 1 species